rnacentral:rRNA from 1 species
UACGUAGGGAGCAAGCGUUGCCCGGAAUCAUUGGGCGUAAAGCGCGCGUAGGUGGCCUCAUAAGUCCGUUGUGAAAGUCAAAGGCUCAACCUUUGAAAGCCGAUGGAUACUGUGAGACUAGAGUACGGAAGAGGCGAGUGGAAUUCCUGGUGUAGCGGUGGAAUGCGCAGAUAUCAGGAGGAACACCAAUAGCGAGGGCAGCUCGCUGGGACGUUACUGACACUGAGGCGCGAAAGCGUGGGGAGCGAACAGG